GCGGGAGUAGCUCAGUGGUAGAGCAUCAGCUUCCCAAGCUGAGGGUCGCGGGUUCGAGCCCCGUUUCCCGCU
rnacentral:tRNA from 4 species